rnacentral:sRNA from 1 species
GGCUGCUCCAAGCAGAUCUCAAUACCAGUCGUUUUGCUCAUCAUUGUUUCGUGUGUUCCUCACACUUUUGUGUAGGGAGCAAACCCUCAAUGUGUUGAUCAAAUCCCAACAUUGUAAAGAAUGAAUGUUGAGCUGAAACACUGGAGUCUUUGUGUCAGUGUGUGAGCAUAAUAAGGAGAAGCACUCUUGAAACAAAUAGUCGUUAUAUAAAAGUGGUGAAAAGUGCAGAGUUGGACAUGGUCAUGUAGACCCAGCAGUAACCUAAUACUUCGCCACAGCGGACACAGACCAGGCCAUUGUCUACAGAGGGUUGAUUUAAUGUUAUUGCUUAAAUACGAUCGUAUAUACCAGAGACAUAAUUAUAAAUAAAUUUUAGGCGAAAUAUGACAACAACGUGAAACACACAGGCCCACACACUUACACUAGUAUACACCCACACACACUAGUCUCAUGAUGUGUAAUAAAAAUAAUAAAUAUUUGAUAAUACUGUCAAGGUAAAGAUAUGAUAAUUGCAAUGAUAAAAUCAACAACGUGUUAUUGUCAGUCAAUAAGUCAGACGUGUUACUGUCAGUCAAUAAGUCAGACAUGUUACUGUCAGUCAAUAAGUCAGACUUGUUACUUUCAGUCAAUAAGUCAGACAUGUUACUUUCAGUCAAUAAGUCAGACGUGUUACUUUCAGUUAAUAAGUCAGUCGUGUUACUUUCCGUCAAUAAGUCAGACUUGUUACUUUCAGUCAAUAAGUCAGACGUUUUACUUUCAGUUAAUAAGUCAGACGUGUUACUUUCCGUCAAUAAGUCAGACAUGUUACUGCCAGUCAAUAAGUUAGGCAUGUUACUCUCAGUGAAUAUGUUAUAUAUACAAAGUAUUUCUUCCAGAGCUACCUAUCUUAUCAAUUAAAUCCAAUUAUUGUUACAAAAUUUUAAGUCUCAAAGUCUAUAUUCAACAAACAAAAAUCAACAUGCAUAUGUAUGUUAUUUGUUCUUUAUAAUGGAGAGAUAAUGCCUUCGUUAAGAGUUGCUGAGUCAAAGGUGAACUUCAAAUCAGUUUUUUGUCCUGUUUUGUUUGUAAAGUGUUUUACAUGUUUCAGUAUUGAAGAUAAUAUACACCCUAACGCAAACCUCCUGCACAAUGGCUGAGUGCGGGGUAUGUCCCGUACAUAGCAAGGAAUGAAAGGAGAACUUUAGAGUGAGGCUGGACACCUGGUCCAGUACAUAGCAAUGAAUGAAAGGAGAACUUUACUUUAGAGUGAGGCUGGACACCUGGUCCAUUCUCUGUUGUUGUUUUGUUCUAAGAAAUGAUUUUUAAAAGUGAACUUGCUUAAAAUAUAACAGUGGCUUCAUGACGAGUACCAAACCAAUAAGCAAGUAAUUGUCACCAUUCAGUGCAUGAUAAAGUGAAGGCCUGUUUGAUUCUUUACAUUAUUACCUCAUUGAGUGCGUAGACACAUUUCUCUCCCUUUGAGAGAGAGAGAGAGAGAGAGAGAGAGAGUCAAAUGAAAUAUUGAAGAAAUUGAAGGACAUCGUAGAAUUUAUUUAUUUUUAAGGAAUUUUUUGCACUUAUUCUGGAGUUUGUCACGCUAUUUAAAUGACUUUAUUUAACUAUACAUAUAUUAGUUCACGAUAAUUCAAUCACAAUACGAGACAAUGCAAAGUAAGGACACCCAAUAGAAUUAGUAUUUUUGGUUUACAAACUUAAAGACCAAUGUCCCAACAGACAAUGUAUAGUCACAGUUUAGAUAAAAAUGACUAUUCAAAAAAGCACAGAAUAGAAAUCUCCAGAUAUUCGGAAUACAACGAAUGGAGUAAAAGCAACAUUGCAAAAACAAUGUCACACUCUUUAUUGGGUAUCACAUCUUGCUACAAACCGUCUGCAUCUUACCCCCGUAACGCAUCAUAAUUGAAUGGCCCUAAAAAUGUAAAGUAAUAUCUAAAAUCUUUUAUCGUUAAAUAAUGAUUUAAGACUUUGCAGCAUCUAACAUAUAGUAGGCCUUCUGUCUUAGUAUAAGGUCCUAUGUA